ACAGCUCAGUCGGUAGAGCAUGAGACUCUUAACCUCUGGGCUGUGGGUUCGAACCCCACAUUGGGUG